GACGAACGCUGGCGGCGUGCUUAACACAUGCAAGUCGAACGGAAAGGCCCUGCUUGCCGGGUACUCGAGUGGCGAACGGGUGAGUAACACGUGGGUGAUCUGCCCUGCACUUCGGGAUAAGCCUGGGAAACUGGGUCUAAUACCGGAUAGGAGCCAUUUUUAGUGUGAUGGUUGGAAAGUUUUUUCGGUGUAGGAUGAGCUCGCGGCCUAUCAGCUUGUUGGUGGGGUAAUGGCCUACCAAGGCGGCGACGGGUAGCCGGCCUGAGAGGGUGGACGGCCACAUUGGGACUGAGAUACGGCCCAGACUCCUACGGGAGGCGGCAGUGGGGAAUAUUGCACAAUGGGCGCAAGCCUGAUGCAGCGACGCCGCGUGGGGGAUGACGGCCUUCGGGUUGUAAACUCCUUUCGCUAGGGACGAAGCUUUUUGUGACGGUACCUAGAUAAGAAGCACCGGCUAACUACGUG
rnacentral:rRNA from 1 species